rnacentral:rRNA from 1 species
AUUAUGUGGCCGUAUAUGCUGGUGUAAAGACGCCAGUAAGUGGAUUGCUAGGCUUGAGAAGAGAUGAAGGACGUGGCAAGCUGCGAUAAGCCCGGGGUAGGCGCACGCGACCUUUGAUCCCGGGAUGUCCGAAUGAGAAUCUUGUUUUUUAAACACUCCGUUGCAAUGGCGGCGGAGAUCGAACCGUCGGAAUUGAAGCAUCUUAGUACGACGAGGAAAAGAAAUCAAUUGAGAUUUCCCAAGUAGUGGCGAACGAAACGGAAAUAGCCCAAACUGAAUCUGUUAUGGUAACAUAACAGAGAUGUGGUGUUUUGGUUAUGAUAUUACGAUCCUAGAAUACAGCUGAAGUGUUCUGGAACGUACCGGCGAAGUGGGUGAUACCCCCGUAAGCGAAGUAAUAUAGGAUCUUAUCAUAACCCGAGUAGCUGUCCUUGGCAGUGGGCAGUGAAUAUAGGUGAAAGUAGUAUCUUAGGCUAAAUAUCUCUCAAGACCGAUAGUGUACUAGUACCGUGAGGGAAAGCUGAAAAGUACCCCGGAAGGGGGCUGAAAAGUGCAUGAAACUUAUUGGUUACAGACGUGCAUGGCAUGAAAGGUGAUUUUUUCAUACUGGAGGUUCUAGCAAUAGAACUAAAGGUUUGAAGGCCAAAUCAUCAGUGUCAUGCGUUCCGUCUCGAAACACGGGCCAGGGAGCUUAUUGUCAUGGCAAGUCUAAGCCCUUAAAGGCGAAGACGAAGGGAAACCGAGUUCUCGCAACUUUUGUGAGGAGAAGCGUGUGAAAGUGCGUUGAGUCAUGGCGGUAAGGCUAGAAGCCAGUCGAUCUAUUCCUGAGCAAGCUGAAGGCGGGCGAAAGCCCGCUGGAAGGCUGUAGCAGUUCUGACGUGCAAAUCGUUUGUGUGACUUGGGAAUAGGGGAUAUGAUCCAAUCUAGACUGGCGAUCGCUAGUUCCAACCGAAGCGUCUCGCAGGGCGUCCUCUGUGGAGAUAGCAUUUCCUGUAGAGCACUGAUCUUUUGGUAUGGGGGAGAAAUCCCUCGCCAUCAUUUCAAACUCCGAAUGGAUAUGCAUCGUAGAAGCAGGGAGACGGGUUCGUGUGACGUAAGGUUCACGACCGAAAGGGGUUUAACCCAGACUAAAGUUAAGGUCCCCAAAUUUUUGCUAAGUGUCAAGCCAAAGGGCGUGUUCGCGCCAAGACAGCAGGGAGGUAAGCUCAGAAGCAGCUAUCCUUUAAAAAGUGUGUAACAACUUACCUGCCGAGCGUGAGCGCCCCGAAAACGGACGGGGCUAAAGCAAAGUACCGAUACUUUAGAUACUUGUACAUUUACAAGUCAUGGUAGGUUGGCGUAGUGAUUGGGUAGAAGCAGGGCAGUGAUGUCCUGUGGACCGAUUUCUAUUGCAGAUCCUGGUGGCAGUAACAGCAUAGUAGAGUGAGAAACUCUACCACCGCAAGCGCAAGGGUUUCCAGGCAAUGCGUUAUCAGCCUGGAGUUAGUCGAUCCUAAGAAUUACCUCAACAGAGUAAUUCGAAUGGGAAACUGGUUAAUAUUCCAGUACCUUGCUUACACGUUAUCAUCUAUAUGAAUUGCUUCUAGAUAGGGGAUGUAGAACUGUCGUUUUAUCUAACUGUUUGAGAUUCGGGGAGUGUCGUAAUGACGAGAACUGAUUCGAGGCAGGAAUGGCUCUGCGUUAGCAGAGUUUUCUCAACUCUAGGAGACCAUGAAAGAUCAUAUAGAAAGUGUUAGCAAGUUCGUACCGAGAACCGACACAGGUGCGCUGGCUUAGAAAGCUAAGGUGCUACGGGUAUACCGUAUGGCGAGGGAAUUCGGCAAAUUAGUCCUGUAGCUUAGGUAUAAGGGAUACCUGCUGUUUUAAUGAGGAAUUGGGACAGCAGGUUGCAAUGACUAGGGGGUUCCGACUGUUUAAUAAAAACACAGGCGACUGCUAGUCCGAAAGGAUUUGUAUAGUCGCUGAAUCCUGGCCGGUGCAGGUACCUAAAACUUGGGUUCAACCGAGCUAAGGGCCUGUUAACGCCGGGAGUAACUCUGACUCUCUUAAGGUAGCCAAAUGCCUUGUCGGGUAAGUUCCGACGCGCAUGAAUGGAACAACGAGAGCCCCACUGUCCCCGCCUACAACCCGGUGAAGCCACAUAAGGUGGACGAACAGUCCAUCAUCUUCCAUCGGGGAGAGAAGACCCCGUGGAGUUUUACUGCAGCUUGUGCUUGUAGUAUAGUACGAAUUACAUAGUGUAUCUGGUAGCCAUGCCUGAAUUUCUUUGGGAAUUCAGUGAAGCGACGAUGUAACACCAGAUUAUUCUUGCAGUACUUCUUAUCUGAUGCAAAUCAGAAACAGGUGCAGGUAGGCAGUUCGGCUGGGGCGGCACCCCUUUGAAAAGAUAUCAAAGGGGCCCAAAGUUUAGUUCAAACGGGUCAGAAAUCCGUUGAAGAGGGCAAAGCCAAAAACUAGACUGACAGGAUUUCCAAACGCACGGAAUUCUGAGACGAAAGUCUGGCUUAGCGAUCCUUCGUGUGCCCACUAUUGGGGCCCGGAGGUGACAGAAAAAUUACCCCAGGGAUAACAGGCUCGUCGCGGGCGAGAGCUCCUAUCGACCCCGCGGUUUGGUACCUCGAUGUCGGCUUUUCCUAUCCUGGUCCUGCAGCAGGGGCCAAGGGUGAGGCUGCUCGCCUAUUAAAAGGGAACAUGAGCUGGGUUUAGACCGUCGUGAGACAGGUCGGUCUCUGCCUGAUGGAAGCGCGGCUGUCUGAGGGGAAGUUGCUCUCAGUACGAGAGGAACAGAGCAACGUGGCCACUGGUCUACCGGUUGUCUGAUAAGGCAGGCCGGGCAGCUAAGCCGUUUGGAUUAAGUGCUGAAAGCAUCUAAGCACGAAACCCAUCCCGAGACAAGACAGCCUUUCGUAAGAUGAAGGUUCGCAGAAGAAGACUGCGUUGAUAGGAUGGAUGUGUAGAUCACAAGCUUCGGCGAGUGAUGAGCAUGCCAUUACUAAUAGACCAACACAUCAGCA